rnacentral:rRNA from 1 species
CCUACGGGAGGCAGCAGUGAGGAAUAUUGGUCAAUGGCGCAAGCCUUGAACCAGCCAUGCCCGCGUGCAGUGAAGAACGCCCUAUGGCGUUGUAAACUGCUUUUAUUUGGGAAUAAACCCAGGGUCGUGCACCCUGGCUGAAGGUACCAAAUGAAUAAGCACCGGCUAACUCCGUGCCAGCAGCCGCGGUAAUACGGAGGGUGCAAGCGUUAUCCGGAAUCAUUGGGUUUAAAGGGUCCGCAGGCGGGUUUAUAAAGUCAGUGGUGAAAGGCCUACAGCUCAACUGUAGAACUGCCAUUGAUACUGUAAGUCUUGAAUUCGGUCGAAGUGGGCGGAAUAUGACAUGUAGCGGUUGAAAUGCUUAGAUAUGUCAUAGAACACCGAUAGCGAAGGCAGCUCACUAGGCCUGGAUUGACGCUCAGGGACGAAAGCGUGGGGAUCAAACAGGAUUAGAUACCCUGGUAGUCCACGCCGUAAACUAUGAUUAACUCGUUUUCGGCACUUAAGUGUGGUCGGAGACCAAGCGAAAGUGAUAAGUAAUCCACCUGGGGAGUACGAUCGCC